rnacentral:misc_RNA from 1 species
GAUGAAGAACGUAGCGAAAUGCGAUAAGUAAUGUGAAUUGCAGAAUUCAGUGAAUCAUCGAAUCUUUGAACGCACCUUGCGCUCCUUGGUAUUCCGAGGAGCAUGCCUGUUUGCGUGUCAUUAAUAUAUCAACCUUCACUUGUUGAAUGGUUUGGAUGUGGGGGUUUGCUGGUCUCUUAAAGGGUUCAGCUCCUCUAAAAUGCAUUAGCAGAACAAUCUGUUCAUUGGUGUGAUAACUAUCUACGCUCUUGAAUAAGAUGCAGUUCAGCUUUCUAACUGUCCUUGGACAAUUUAUCAUUUAUGUGACCUCAAAUCAGGUAGGACUACCCGCUGAACUUAAGCAUAUCAAUAAGCGGAGGA